rnacentral:ncRNA from 2 species
UAUGUUAAACUAACAAGCUGUGUUUAAGGAAGCAGGUGUAACUCCUGCACUGUGCCGCAACCGUUAACCCUGAGCGCUGUCAGAGCGUAUCCAGUCGAAGGGUAGAGUCGGAAAACUAGCAGCUUCUAAUGAUCCCGA